rnacentral:rRNA from 1 species
UACAGAGGGGGCAAGCGUUGUUCGGAAUUACUGGGCGUAAAGGGCGCGUAGGCGGCCUGUUAAGUCGAACGUGAAAUCCCCGGGCUCAACCCGGGAACUGCGUCCGAUACUGGCAGGCUUGAAUCCGGGAGAGGGAUGCGGAAUUCCAGGUGUAGCGGUGAAAUGCGCAGAUAUCGGGAGGAACACCGGUGGCGAAGGCGGUUCUCUGGGCCUUACCUGACGCUGAGGAGCGAAAGCGUGGGGAGCGAACAGG